rnacentral:lncRNA from 1 species
UUGAUAAAAAAUUAUGAGGCUCAUGGAAGCAUUUUCCAAACACACAGGAGAGAACAGAAAGAUAUUCAGAAGGAUAUUCAAGCAAACAAGACAGCUCUGGAGAAUGCAAGACAAGAAGAAAUUGACGUCUAGAGUGAUUAAUGAAGGCUUCAUAGAUGAGCUAUCCCACAUCCAGAGAUGAAUCUGCCGGAGACUGCAAAAGGAAAAAAGUACUCCCAAGACCAGAAGUAUUGAAUAACCAGCUAAAAUGAAAGGGAAGAAAAAAAGGGGGAGGAGAAAGAUGGAGCCACUUUCCUAAAAUCGACUCAGUUGAAUAAAACCUCUUUCCAAAUAUUUCUUACUUCUAGC